UAUCAUGCCAAGACAUUAUACAGUAGGUGGUGUUAACAUAGGAAGCCUUUAUCAUGAGAAGCCAUAACUCCUACGGUGCAUAAGAGUAAGACACUCCCUUUCAACUUUUCCUCUCCAUGGCAGAAGUAUGGAAGAACCUCAAAAGUUUCAUGAGCUCUGGAGAAGACAGCUAUAACUCCAAAAGUGAGAGAAAGUAGAAGACAUGCCAGUGCUCAAAAGCUACAAAUGUAACCAGAGCCGUGGCAUAAAAUGAAAUACUUCUGGUUCAUAUACUUCCACUGAGCAGCAUUGCAUUUUAUACACUUCUUCUUUAAUGGUUCAGACAUAUAGUUCUUAACAUCACAUGGAGACUCAUAACCUUCAGAAUACAGCAUGAAUCAGCUGGCUGCACUGCAAAGAGAAUACAAAAUACCAUCAAGAAUGUCCUAACUGGAACAGUAAACUUUUAAAGUACAAACAACUCAUCUGUUAGCAGCCUGGCAUUUUGCUUUCUGGAAAGUAAAUACAUUAGAGAGAUAUCUUUAAAGAGAGUCUAUUACCUGUGUAAGUCAGCAAUUUUCAAUCAUGACUGUAGCAGAUCCAGGUGAGAGACACUGCGACCUGGCCUUAUAGCAGGACCAAUAAGCAUAAGCAAUCCCUUGGUCCUAAGAUGAAGACUUACUAAUCAUUAGUUCUUGAAUCUAUAACUUCCUUAGGUUAGGUCAGAUUUGUCCUCGCUUACUCAGCUUAUGGGGCGUGGAUUCUUAUAUAGCCAGUCUAUAGAGAGAGUAUCAAUAAAGUCAUAAAUCUGGGGGAAAAAAAAGUCCUCAUUAUCGCACCUGUCUGGUUUUUCAAAAUCUUGCCUAAGGUGGUCUGGUUUGCUGAAGGGUGCUCCAGGAAGUGCAGUCUCCAGGUGUAACAGCCUCCCAAAGAAACAGUCUCUGUUUUGGCUGGAGGAAAUUGUUGAUUUUCCUCUGAAGCCUGGAAUCAGCAGUUCUCUGCUGCUAAAACUCCUGCAGGGUUUUAGGGGCAAGUAGCUACUUUAGAAUUGAGCAGAUGGGGUAAAGGAGAUAAGGAAAUGUAGUUUAGAGAGACUUCCCACGAGAAGGCAUCCUUUUCAUUCCUUAAACUUCCCACCACCACCUCACACACAAGUGAAAAACGGGUGCAGAAGAAUAUACGGGGGAAAAACGGUAAGCUUGGGCAAAGUUCCCUGCAGAGGGAGAAGAAAAAAUAGGAUGAGACUUAAGAAUUUUAUAGUCCUAAACACUGGAAAAAUUAUGGCGAAUUCUUCCCUGCCCCCAAUAAUUAUCAUGUGAAUCAUUUUGAUCUUUAUUUGUUAACAGUAAUAUAUAAAACAUAAUACUUUUUCCAAACAAUUUUGGAUACCAUCAUUUUAUGGUUGUACUAAGGACAGCUAGUCCCCUACAGGAGUCAGAGACUUUAGGAAGUAUUUAAGACCUAAUUCUAUGGUUAUCUUCUCAAAAUAUAGGAUUCCUGGGAGCUAUGACAGGUAAUCUAGCAAAGUGAACUUAUCAGUUAAACUUAAUAGUUAAUUGGCCAGGCACAGUGGCUCACGCCUGUAAUCCUAGCACUUUUGGAGGCCGAGGCAGGAAGAUUACUUGAAGUUAGCAGUUUGAAACCAGACUGGCCAACAUGGUGAAACCCUGUCUCUACUAAAAAUACAAAAAAAAAAUUAGCCAGGCGUGGUGGUACAUGCCUGUAAUCCCAGCUACUCGGGAGGCUGAGGCAGGAGAAUCGGUUGAGCCUGGGAGGUGGAGGUUGCAGUGAGCUGAGACCACCCCAGAGCACUCCAGCCUGGAUGGCGACAGAGCAAGACUCCGUCUAAAACAGAAAAAAAAAAAAAAAAAAAAAAGCUUAAUAGUUAAUUUAUCCAUUAAACUUAAAUUAUCAACUAAGGACACUAUAAGUGCUUUUCAUAUGGCUGCACAAGAUAUUGCAACUGAUACCAAGGUGAGUAAAGCAGCAGUCCCUACCUUCGAAGGGUUAGUUGCCUGUUUAGAAAUUUUUAUUAUGGUUUUAAAGUGAGGAUAAGCUGCAGAAAGGCAUUUUAAGUACAAAAAUAAUUGUAGGUCACACAGGAAUCUAAUUUAUAAAAGAAAAGGGAGCAUCUGGAGGAUUCAGAAGAGGGAAAGCAGACACCUGGUUGGAUGGAGUAAGAAAAGACUAUAAAUGGGAAGGAUUUCUGAAAAGACUUAAGACUUGAAGGAUGGCAUGUGUUUUGUCAAAAGAAAACAGAAAUGAGGGAAGUUGUAUGUAAAAGAACAGCAUAACCAAGAGCAUUCAUGUCAUCAUUAUCAUCAUCAUAACUGACAUUUACUGAAUACUUAAUUUGUAUGAGGCUUUGUGCUAAAUCUUUAACGUGUUAAAUCCUGUAAUCUUCAUAAUCACACUACAAAGUCAAGUCUAUUAUUAUUCCCAGUUUACAGAAGAGAAAACUGAUACUCUGGUUAAUUGCCCAGGGCCAUAUAGCUAAAAGCAGUGCAAUCUGAAAUUGACCAAGAUUCAGGUAACCAUGAGAAAUCUAGUGUGAAUAGAACAUUUAGCAUACACAUCAAUAAAUAAAAAGACUAAGUCUAGAAAUGCAGAUCAGGAUUUCCCAAGGCUCCAUAUGCUGGAUUAAAGGUUUCAUGCUUAGUUGACAGGCAAUGGGCAGCCAUUGCAGGGUUAUGAGCAGGUUUUUACGUUACCCAAUCUGUCAACACAUGGAGUGGAGACAUCAUGGAGGGGAGAGGUCUAGGGAUACAGUGAGACCAAGAAGUCCUCUCAAGUUUUUCAGGUAAGAAGCAAACUUAGAGUGAAAUUUUUGUUAAUGAAAUGAGGUAAGAGAUAGGAGAAACACAAAAGGUCAAAUCUACAGAACUCGUCAACUAAUGGAUUGAGUGCUGGAAGUGUUACAGAAAAUAAGAAGUCUGCAACAACUUGGAGAGCUGGGGUCUUGCCGCUGAACUGAUGGUUUCAUAAACAGAAAUUUGUAAGUUAAGAUUGUUGAAAAGAAGAUAAUGCCUAUGCAGUGCUCUUUUUGCUGCUCUUCCUCUUUGCUCUUCCUCUUCCUCCUCCUCAUCAUCAUCAUCACCAUUACCAUAGUCACAGUUUACAAGUAGAUGGCAUUUCAUCUAUGCCAGGCAUCAUUCCAAGCCUUUUACACAUAGUAACUAACACUAAAUGAAAGCCCAUAAGGUACAUACUAAUAAUAUUGUCAUUUUAUAAAUGAGAAAAUAUUUAGAGAUAGAGGUUAAGUGACUUGUC